rnacentral:rRNA from 1 species
UGGCUAACUCCGUGCCAGCAGCCGCGGUAAUACGGAGGGGGCUAGCGUUAUUCGGAAUUAUUGGGCGUAAAGGGCGCGUAGGCUGGUUAAUAAGUUAAAAGUGAAAUCCCAAGGCUUAACCUUGGAAUUGCUUUUAAAACUAUUAAUCUAGAGAUUGAAAGAGGAUAGAGGAAUUCCUAAUGUAGAGGUAAAAUUCGUAAAUAUUAGGAGGAACACCAGUGGCGAAGGCGUCUAUCUAGUUCAA